GUGCCAGCAGCCGCGGUAAUACGUAGGGUGCGAGCGUUAAUCGGAAUUACUGGGCGUAAAGCGUGCGUAGGCGGUUUGCCGUGUCCUGUGUGAAAGCCCCGGGCUCAACCUGGGAAUUGCAUGGGAAACUGGCAGGCUUGAGUGUGGCAGAGGAGGGUGGAAUUCCGCGUGUAGCAGUGAAAUGCGUAGAGAUGCGGAGGAACACCGAUGGCGAAGGCAGCCCUCUGGGCCAACACUGACGCUCAGGCACGAAAGCGUGGGGAGCAAACAGGAUUAGAAACCCCUGUAGUCC
rnacentral:rRNA from 1 species